rnacentral:rRNA from 1 species
AAAAGAAACCAAUACGGGAUUCCCUUAGUAGGGGCGACCGAACAGGGAUGAGCCCAGCGCAGAACCUCCCGGGCCACCCGGCCUGCGGCGGAAUGUUGCGUAAAGGGAAAGGUCGUAGUCAAACCCCACAGCCACGCGAACUCUAAGUCAGCCACGAAUAGGCUAUCCCAACUAACGGCGGGAAAGACUCCACGGAGGGUGUAAGACCCGUGUGGGCGCGUGUCAAAGCUGUGCGGGCUCGGCCUUUUUUCCCUGAGAGUCGCGUUGCUUGAGCAUGCAGCGCUAAGCAGGUCGUAAACUCGAUCUAAGGCUAAAUAUGUCCACAGAACCGAUAGCGAACAAGUACCGUGAGGGAAAGUUGAAAAGCACUCUGGAGAGAGAGUCAAAAGACCGUGAAACCGCUCAGAGUAUAAGCCCAUGGCAGCUUGGAAGGCAUAUCGCUAGCGGGGCAUCGGUCUUCCUUCGCGGGGAGCUGGUGUUACCUUGCUUCUGUUGUGGCUCGUCAAGGUAGGGGGGUCAAGUCCACAUCCCGCCGUCGUGUGUGAGGUUCUUGGGUGUGUUGUGGUCUUUCGGUUGACUUCGGUUGGCCGUUGGGCUCUUCGUGCUUGGUGCUUCUUUAACACGGACGUUCAGACUCAAAGGCAAGACGCGAUAACCAGCCCACCACGGCACGUUGUGAGGUCACCCACAGGCUCAACUUUCGAUUGUGAACCUUGACGCCGAGCAGCACAAUGCGUGUCGCUUAUGUUCCUAACCAGGCAACGCUGCCAGGACCGUGGAACGACACGCGCUCAACAGUCAGGUUCGAGCGAUGACAGAGUUCUGGUACGAUCCUCUUGCGACGAGCCGGCUUCUGGCCAAAAUCCGCUGCUCAGGUCUCCCGCAUGUGCCGCGGGAGAUCGCCCUUGACGGUCUGGAGCUUUUACAAGUCCUCUCAGUCGGGCAACGGAUAGAGUGGUGUAAAGUCCAAGCCCAUCGGUCACGUCUCGAAACACGGGCCAAGGAGUAUAGCAUGUGUGCAAGUCUAAGGGUCUCACAAAACCCGAAGGCGAAGUGAAAGCAAGUAAGCGGCGGGUGAUCUACGGAGAGAUCCCGUCAGCUAGAGGGACCCUCGGGUCUCUCCGGCUUUGGCAGAGUUGAUCCUGCAGCGGUACCGCACACGUACGCUCAGGCGCAAACUCCAGGCUCACGUUUCGCACUGGUUCUCGGACUGUGCUGUGAGCACUGUGGAGCAUGCAUGCUAUGACCCGAAAGAUAGUGAACUAUGCCUGGCGAGGGCGAAGCCCCAGGAAACUGGGGUGGAGGCCCGUAGCCGUUGUGACGUGCAAAUCCAUGGUAUCAGUUGGGCAUAGGGGCGAAAGACCAAUCGA